AUGGGCAGAGACACCUUCCACUGUCCCAGGCUGCUCCAAGCCCUGUCCAAGCUAGCCUUGGACACUUCCAGGGAUCCAGAGGCAGCCACAGCUGCUCUGGGCACCCUGUGCCAGGGCCUGCCCCCCCUCCCAGGGAAGGAUUCCUUUCCAAUAUCCCAUCCAUCCGUGCCUUCUGGCAGUGGGAAGCCAUUCCCCCUUUAUCCUAAAUCCCCCUCCAGUUCUCUUGGAGCCCCACUGGAAGGGGCUCUUAGGCCAAGCCAAGCUGGACACCCCAGCUCUCCGAGCCCUCCGGAGCAGCGUUCCCCAGCCCUCGGAGGCUCCUCCGGCCGCGCUCCCGGCUGGAGGAUGCUCAGCCCCGCUCCGCUCCCGGGCACCUCCGCUGGCUCCAUCCCGCAGGGACGGUGCCCGAGUGCCCUCCCAGGGGAUGCCAUGCUCGGGCUCUUCCCGGAGCCUUCCGUGGGCACCGUGCCCGGCUCCCCACGCCUCCUCCGGGGCCACCACUCGUCUCUCCAGCCCGGGGCCACCCCGUGCCCGAGCCUGUCCCCGCUGUCCCGGGCCCGGCGCCGGGGCGGGAGGCGGUGCCGGUGCCGCUCGGGGCGGUGCGGGGCGGCCCGGGAAGGGGCGGGGGCGGCGGGAUGGGCUGGGCUGGGCUGGGCUCGGCACGGCUCGGCUCGGCACGGCGGGGUUCGGCACGGCACGGCUCGGCUCGGCUCGGCACGCAGCGCGCUCCCGCAGCCGCAGGUAGGUGCGUGCCCCGCACCGCGCUCCCGCUCGGCUCAGCCCGGCUCGGCUCAGCCCGGUUCCGCUCCCUUCGGCUCGGCUCGGCUCGCUGUGGCUCAGCCCGGCCCGGCUCGGCUCGCCCCCGCAGGGCCGUGCCGCGGGUGGGCCCGGCGCUGCCGCUUGUUGCGCUCGGGGGCGAGUUGGAGCCGGAGCGGUGCGAGCGGCCCCGGCUGCAGGAAUGCGAGUCAUUUCCUCCGCCCGCCCGCCUGCCCGCCCGCGGGAGCUGCGGCUCCGCCGGAACCCCCCCACGGCCCCCGACGGCCGCCACACCGCCGCGACACCGCCGCGACACCGACACGGCCGCCCCGAGCCGCGCCAGGGGCGCGCUCGCCCGCGGGACCCCGCGCCCCUGGGCACCCACAGCUGCGGGACCCCUGGGUCACGCUUGUCCCCACAGCUGCGGGACCCCUGGGUCACACUCGUCCCCGCAUUUGCAGGAGCCCCGGUCCGUGGGUACCCACAUCUACGGGACCCCGUGCCCCUGAGUACCCACAUCUGCGGACCUGUGGCCCCUGGGUCACACUCGUCCCCACAUCUGUGAGAGCCUUGGCCCCUGGGUCCCAACCGCCCACGGAUCUCCUUGCCCCUGGGUCACACUCGCCCACGGGUCUUGCUCACCUGUGGUCUCACUCACCCACAGGUCUCACUCACCCUUGGGACCCUUUUCCCUGGGUGGCACUCACCCACAGGUCCCCUCACCCAUGGGACCCCUUGCUUUCACCCACAGGUCCCCUCACCCACAGGACCCCUUGCUUUCACCCACAGGUCCUCCUACCUGUGGGUCACCGUCACCCACGGCUUCCCUCAUUCCUGGUUCACAGUCACCCAUGGGACUGUUUGUCCCUGGGUUAUGCUCACUCAUGGGUCACUUCACCCCUUGCUCGUGGGUGA
rnacentral:lncRNA from 1 species